AUGGGGGCAGGUUCUGCUGUGGGGGCAGGAAGGGUCCAGGAAGCUGAGGACCAAGAUUCAACACCUGAGGAGGCAGCAGGAGUUCAGGCUGAGACUGGAUCAGGAACGGAGUGAGAAAUGGAGAACCCUGAGAGAGAACCUCAGCAGGCUUCACUCAUCAGGCUGCUCGGUCGGAGUCGGGCUCGACGUCACCUGACAUCACAAAGAAUCCAAUCGUCCACAUACUCAGAUCUUUGGAUAUUUAGCGCUAAAAUUCCUGCUACACAGAAAUCCUACAGACUGGAGAUGAGUGGAAAUGUAAAAACCCCACAGGAGGUUAAAUACCCCGUUCGGCUGGAAGGGGAACUGCUGAGGGAACUGAGCCGGAGCGUUGGGAAUUCCGAACGGAGGCUGGAGCAUGUAGGGAGGGAUUCCAGGAAACAUCUGAGGAAAAAAAUACUGAUAAUGAUUUUAAAAAACUUUUUUAUCAUUA